CGACCCCAACUAGUUUGGGAUAAAUGUGAUGUUGAUGCUAAUGAAUUACAAUAAGAAGCGACGGGUUCUAAAUCCAAAAGAAAAGCAGUAUCAAAAGUCGGAACGUUACUCGAACCAAUCUCAAGCUCGGUGCAUGUGUCCAUUUCCCUCUACAAUUUAUUACCUUUUCUGCACAUAUUUAUAAAUCCACUGAUAAUGGCCAUACUUCUAUUUUCCUUGCACCUAGACAGUGGCAUUAGAAAACUCUUAAAAACUUAUGCAUUCGUCUUAUGCCAGGCCCAUGCACCUUUGUCGGCUCAUCUAGUUCAAGACUUCAAGAGAAUAUUUGGAGAUGAACAAUAAUUUAAACAUAAAAUGUUGAAUUAUAACACAAAGAGCAAUGGAAGGGAAAUGUAAGCAGACAGGCCAUGGUUCCCAGGUUGCAGAUUCGUUUUGAUCUACUUAGCCAUUAUGGGUUCCAUCUAGGAUCUACCAUGCUUUUCCCAUUUCUUUUUCCCUAUUUCUUUAAUUGAUAGCUAGAACACCAAAUAAUUUUUUGUGGGGCUAUGGUAUGAAUGGAAGAAUGCAGAUUAAGUUCAGUUGCAAUAUUCACCUUCUCAGCUUGGGUCCCGCACUUUAAGAUCAGUGAAGCACACAAAUUACAUGCUUAGCCGAGAAACCUAUAAAUCAUAUGUCACACAUCAUACACAAAGGAGAUCUAGUGCAACCUUCACUCUCUAAACACUGGAAA